rnacentral:rRNA from 1 species
GAUGAACGCUGACAGCAUGCUUAACACAUGCAAGUCAACUUGAAUUUGGGUUUUUAACUUAGGUUUGGGUGGCGGACGGGUGAGUAACGCGUAAAGAACUUGCCUCACAGCUAGGGACAACAUUUGGAAACGAAUGCUAAUACCUAAUAUUAUGAUAAUAGGGCAUCCUAUAAUUAUGAAAGCUAUAAGCGCUGUGAGAGAGCUUUGCGUCCCAUUAGCUAGUUGGAGAGGUAACGGCUCACCAAGGCGAUGAUGGGUAGCCGGCCUGAGAGGGUGAUCGGCCACAAGGGGACUGAGACACGGCCCUUACUCCUACGGGAGGCAGCAGUGGGGAAUAUUGGACAAUGGACCGAGAGUCUGAUCCAGCAAUUCUGUGUGCACGAUGAAGUUUUUCGGAAUGUAAAGUGCUUUCAGUUGGGAAGAAACAAAUGACGGUACCAACAGAAGAAGAGACGGCUAAAUACGUG